rnacentral:rRNA from 1 species
CCUACGGGGGGCAGCAGUGGGGGAUAUUGCACAAUGGGGGGAACCCUGAUGCAGCGACGCCGCGUGGGUGAAGAAGCGCCUCGGCGCGUAAAGCCCUGUCAGCAGGGAAGAAAAUGACGGUACCUGAAGAAGAAGCCCCGGCUAACUACGUGCCAGCAGCCGCGGUAAUACGUAGGGGGCAAGCGUUAUCCGGAUUUACUGGGGGUAAAGGGGGCGUAGGCGGUUUAGCAAGUCAGAAGUGAAAGCCCGGGGCUCAACUCCGGGACUGCUUUUGAAACUGUUGAACUAGAUUGCAGGAGAGGUAAGUGGAAUUCCUAGUGUAGCGGUGAAAUGCGUAGAUAUUAGGAGGAACACCAGUGGCGAAGGCGGCUUACUGGACUGUAAAUGACGCUGAGGCUCGAAAGCGUGGGGAGCAAACAGGAUUAGAUACCCUAGUAGUC